rnacentral:rRNA from 1 species
AUUGAACGCUGGCGGCAGGCCUAACACAUGCAAGUCGAGCGGAUGAGGAAAGCUUGCUUUUCGAUUCAGCGGCGGACGGGUGAGUAAUGCCUAGGAAUCUGCCUGUUAGUGGGGGAUAACUCGGGGAAACUCGGGCUAAUACCGCAUACGUCCUACGGGAGAAAGUGGGGGAUCUUCGGACCUCACGCUAACAGAUGAGCCUAGGUCGGAUUAGCUAGUAGGUGAGGUAAUGGCUCACCUAGGCGACGAUCCGUAACUGGUUUGAGAGGAUGAUCAGUCACACUGGAACUGAGACACGGUCCAGACUCCUACGGGAGGCAGCAGUGGGGAAUAUUGGACAAUGGGCGAAAGCCUGAUCCAGCCAUGCCGCGUGUGUGAAGAAGGUCUUCGGAUUGUAAAGCACUUUAAGUUGGGAGGAAGGGCAGUAAGCUAAUACCUUGCUGUUUUGACGUUACCGACAGAAUAAGCACCGGCUAACUCUGUGCCAGCCGCCGCCGUAAUAC